rnacentral:misc_RNA from 1 species
AUGUGGAGCGGGCUUGCUCGCGAAUGCAGAGUGUCAGUCGAUACAUAUGUCGCUGAUACACCGCUUUCGCGAGCAAGCCCGCUCCCACA